rnacentral:rRNA from 1 species
AUACGGAGGGUGCGAGCGUUAAUCGGAAUUACUGGGCGUAAAGCGUGCGUAGGCGGUUUGUUAAGUCAGAAGUGAAAGCCCUGGGCUCAACCUGGGAACGGCUUUUGAGACUGGCAGACUAGAGUUGAGUAGAGGGGAGUGGAAUUUCCGGUGUAGCGGUGAAAUGCGUAGAGAUCGGAAGGAACACCAGUGGCGAAGGCGACUCCCUGGACUCAAACUGACGCUGAGGUACGAAAGCGUGGGUAGCAAACAGGAUUAGAAACCCCAGUAGUCC